AACCGAUCGGUCGCAGGUUCGAAUCCUGCCUGUGGAGCCA
rnacentral:tRNA from 1 species